AGCUCCAAUAGCGUAUAUUAAAGUUGCUGCAGUUAAAAAGCUCGUAGUUGGAUCUCAGGUGUAGACGGACGGUCCUACUCGCGUAGGCAACUGUGCGAUAUCUAUCCUAACGGCAACCGGCUGAACCCCGCGGGUGCCAUUCACUUGGCGUCUCGGGUGGCCGGUCUUUUUACUUUGAAAAAAUUAGAGUGUUUAAAGCAGGCAAAGGCGCCCAAAUAAUGGUGCAUGGAAUAAUGGAAGAGGACUUGGGUUUUAAGUUUGUUGGUUUUCAGAACCUAAGUAAUGAUUAAGAGGGACUGCCGGGGACAUUCGUAUUGCGGGGUUAGAGGUGAAAUUCUUGGAUCCUCGCAAGACGACCUACUGCGAAAGCAUUUGUCAAGAAUGUUU
rnacentral:rRNA from 1 species